CCCGGGGACGGCCCUUCCUCGCCCCGUCCAGCUGCAGCCCCUCCCGCUCGCCCCCAGACCCGUCUCCAUCUGCACACGGCCUGCCCAUGCCACCAGGUUAGGGCGGCUGCAGGGGCCUCAUGUUAACUCCACGACAGCUGCGCAGCUUUGGACAGUAGAAGUCUGAAACCCAGGUGCGGGCAGGGCCGUGCUCCCUCCAGAGGCUCUAGGGUGUGGAUCCCUCCUGCCACUUCCAGACAUCAGCCGGGUGGUGCUUCUGGCCCACUCCUGUGCGAACACAUCGUGACCUAAGCACACCUGCAAAGACCCUACUUCCAAAUAUGGCUUUACACACUGGCUCCCAGCACCUGCGACUCUGUGUCUGAAGGUACCACCCUGCCUGGACCAUAAGCUUUGAGGAUCCACCAAGAGGCUUCCCAAGAGCCCCACAUGAAGGGACCCUGGUGGACACAACUGCCAUGAUCACAGCGACAACUAACAGAAGCUCCUACCAGACCCAGUGCGCAUGCCGAUUGCCCAGCUGUUCUCAGGGCCAGUUUGUUCAAACCCAACAAGGCUCCUGUGGCCUGUGGUGGUGUUUCUCGUCUCUGCCGUUCAGGUCUGCCUCCUGCGCCCCAUCCAUCCCCCCGCACCAGAGCCCCCGGACAGCCCAGCAGCCCGGGCACUCCUCCUGAACAGUCGGGUUGCUCCCCGGCGGCACUCCUGCCCGCACUGCGGUAAUGCCCUUGAACAGGAAGUGACACAGAGAGCCUUGCUCCUCCUGGGGUGGGGGUGGGGGGACCAGUGCACAGGUAUCUGCCCACCCCCGCCCAGAUCCGGCUCUCAUGCUUGUCCCCUCCCUGGGCAAUGCGGAGACCCAGUGCCAGAGAAGGAGGGGGGACAGGCUGAACCUGGCAUUGUAAGGUGACACGCCCAUCUCCCCUGGCCCCUGUGCCCUACGAGCCACCUGCAAGGUGACAUGGUGGCAUGGUGAGAAUAGCUGCUCCCACCAACUGUCACCCCGGGGGCCUCAGCAGCCGCUGGCAGGCCUGGCCUGGAUCAGGUGCCGCACUCGGGUUGCAGACGGAGGCGGUCUGCUCCUGGUGUCCCAUCGCUUCUGUGAGCUGGCACCGUGCAUGAAGUGCAGCCUCCCCUCCCGCUGGAGCCGCUGAGCCGCCUGGGUACAGCUCCCUGCCCCAGAGAAGUAACUAAGUCUGCAGAGUAAAAGCCGACACAAAGUCCACCGCCAGGGGUAGCGGAUUAUUUCUUGGCUUUUUUUGCUUCUGAGAAUAAGUAUAAAUGCCCACAUUUCAAUUAAUCCUGGUUUUCAAUACUCGAGUUGUCCCAGAUGCGGCCAGUGGAAGUUCCUGAGGCUGUUUUACUAUUUUGCAGUAGAGAUUCCCGAAAAGCUGAGGUGGCACAAGGCCCGUGCACCCUUCCUGGGGCCCCCUGAUGGUGUCCUCUUGCCUGGCCAGAGCACAGAGCAGCCCCGGGGGAAUAGCUCUGGUGCCAUGUGUGUGGCCACUCUGUCAAGGGUGCAGGUCUAUGCAGCACCACCGUGGCCGAGCACCGCCCCCCAAUCUGGUCAGCCCCUCCUCUGCCCUCUGUUCCCAUAGAUCUGUGUGUCCAGGGCAGCCCCGGUGGCGCAGCGGUUUGGCGCCGCCUGCAGCCUGGGGCGUGAUCCUGGAGACCCUGGAUCGAGUCGCACGUCGGG